rnacentral:rRNA from 1 species
AACGCGAAAGCCCCCUUCGGGGGGCAAGUAGAGUGGCGCACGGGUGAGUAACACGUAGGUAAUCUACCUUUGGAUGGGGAAUAACAACCGGAAACGGUUGCUAAUACCGCAUAAUGCAGCGGCACCUAAUGGUGACAGUUGUUAAAGCGGGGGAUCGCAAGACCUCGCGUCUGAAGAGGAGCCUGCGGCAGAUUAGCUAGUUGGUAAGGUAACGGCUUACCAAGGCGAUGAUCUGUAGCCGGCCUGAGAGGGCGGUCGGCCACACUGACACUGACAUACGGGUCAGACUCCUACGGGAGGCAGCAGUCGGGAAUUUUGGGCAAUGGGCGAAAGCCUGACCCAGCAACGCCGCGUGAAGGAUGAAAUCCCUCGGGAUGUAAACUUCGCAAGAACGGGAAGAAUAAGUAAGAGCUAACAUCUCUUACGAUGACGGUACUGUUUGUAAGCUCCGGCUAACUCCGUGCCAGCAGCCGCGGUAAUACGGGGGGAGCAAGCGUUGUUCGGAUUUACUGGGCGUAAAGGGCGCGUAGGCGGCCACCGCAAGUCGACUGUGAAAUCUCCGGGCUUAACCCGGAACGGUCAGCCGAUACUGCGGGGCUAGAGUGCAGAAGGGGCAACUGGAAUUCUCGGUGUAGCGGUGAAAUGCGUAGAUAUCGAGAGGAACACCUGCGGCGAAGGCGGGUUGCUGGGCUGACACUGACGCUGAGGCGCGAAAGCUAGGGGAGCGAACGGGAUUAGAUACCCCGGUAGUCCUAGCCUUAAAACGAUGAAUGCUUGGUGUC